GCCCAGAUAGCUCAGUUGGUAGAGCAACGGACUGAAAAUCCGUGUGUCGUUGGUUCGAUUCCGAUUCUGGGCACCA
rnacentral:tRNA from 1 species